rnacentral:rRNA from 1 species
CAAAGGAGCAAUCCGCUGAAAGAUGGGCUCGCGUCCGAUUAGGUAGUUGGCGGGGCAACGGCCCACCAAGCCGACGAUCGGUAGCCGGACUGAGAGGUUGAACGGCCACAUUGGGACUGAGACACGGCCCAGACUCCUACGGGAGGCAGCAGUGAGGGAUAUUGGUCAAUGGGGGAAACCCUGAACCAGCAACGCCGCGUGAGGGAAGACGGUUUUCGGAUUGUAAACCUCUGUCCUCUGUGAAGAUGAUGACGGUAGCAGAGGAGGAAGCUCCGGCUAACUACGUGCCAGCAGCCGCGGUAAUACGUAGGGAGCAAGCGUUGUCCGGAUUUACUGGGUGUAAAGGGUGUGUAGGCGGCUUUGCAAGUCAGAAGUGAAAUCCAUGGGCUUAACCCAUGAACUGCUUUUGAAACUGCAGAGCUUGAGUGGAGUAGAGGUAGGCGGAAUUCCCGGUGUAGCGGUGAAAUGCGUAGAGAUCGGGAGGAACACCAGUGGCGAAGGCGGCCUGCUGGGCUCUAACUGACGCUGAGGCACGAAAGCGUGGGUAGCAAACAGGAUUAGAUACCCUGGUAGUCCACGCUGUAAACGAUGAUUACUAGGUGUGGGUGGACUGACCCCAUCC